rnacentral:rRNA from 1 species
GAUGAACGCUGACAGCAUGCUUAACACAUGCAAGUCAACUUGAAUUUGGGUUUUUAACUUAGGUUUGGGUGGCGGACGGGUGAGUAACGCGUAAAGAACUUGCCUCACAGCUAGGGACAACAUUUGGAAACGAAUGCUAAUACCUAAUAUUAUGAUAAUAGGGCAUCCUAUAAUUAUGAAAGCUAUAAGCGCUGUGAGAGAGCUUUGCGUCCCAUUAGCUAGUUGGAGAGGUAACGGCUCACCAAGGCGAUGAUGGGUAGCCGGCCUGAGAGGGUGAUCGGCCACAAGGGGACGGAGACACGGCCCUUACUCCUACGGGAGGCAGCAGUGGGGAAUAUUGGACAAUGGGCCGAGAGUCUGAUCCAGCAAUUCUGUGUGCACGAUGAAGUUUUUCGGAAUGUAAAGUGCUUUCAGUUGAGAAGAAACAAAUGACGGUACCAACAGAAGAAGUGACGGCUAAAUACGUG